rnacentral:rRNA from 1 species
GUGCCAGCAGCCGCGGUAAUACAGAGGUGGCAAGCGUUGUUCGGAAUUACUGGGCGUAAAGGGCGCGUAGGCGGUCCUGUAAGUCUUGUGUGAAAUCCCUCGGCUUAACUGAGGAACUGCACGAGAUACUGCGAGACUUGAGUUCGGGAGAGGAAAGCGGAAUUCCGGGUGUAGCGGUGAAAUGCGUAGAUAUCCGGAGGAACACCGGUGGCGAAGGCGGCUUUCUGGACCGACACUGACGCUGAGGCGCGAAAGCUAGGGGAGCAAACGGGAUUAGAAACCCCAGUAGUCC